AUGGAUUCCAUCAUGGCUAACGGGACAUGGGAGAUCACUGACCGUCCCUAUGGUUGCAAACCACUGGGAUGUAAGUGGGUGUUCAAAAAGAAGCUUAGGCCCGAUGGUACGAUUGAAAAGUACAAGGCUAGGCUUGUGGCCAAGGGCUAUGACCAGCAAGAAGAGGAAGAUUUCUUUGAUACUUAUUCACCUGUGGCUAGACUGGCCACCAUUCGAGUAUUACUCUCGUUGGCGGCCUCAUAUGGUCUUCUCGUCCAUCAGAUGGAUGUUAAGACGGCUUUUCUAAAUGGAGAGCUAAAGGAGGAAAUCUACAUGCAACAGCCUGAUGGCUUUGUGAUAGAUGGUCAGGAAAGAAAGGUGUGUAGGUUGAUAAAAUCUUUAUAUGGCCUGAAACAAGCACCUAAGCAAUGGCAUGAUAAGUUUAAUACAACUCUGACAUCUGUUGGUUUCGUUGUUAAUGAGGCUGACAAAUGUGUAUACUAUCGCCAUGGUGGGGGCGAAGGUGGGAUCACACUUCUGCAAUCCCAUUACGUUGAGAAGGUGUUGAGUCGUUUUGGAUAUUCGGACUGCACACCAUCUCAAACACCAUAUGAUCCUAGCGUAUUGAUUCGAAAGUCCAAAGGCAUGGCUAAAGAUCAAUUGAGAUACUCUCAAAUCAUUGGUUCACUGAUGUACCUAGCGAGCGCAACGAGGCCUGACAUCGCGUUUGCUGUGAGCAAACUGAGCCGGUUUGUUUCCAAACCGGGUGAUGUACAUUGGCAUGCUAUUGAGAGAGUUAUGUGCUAUCUGAAAGGUACUAUGAACUAUGGACUUCACUAUACCGGAUACCCGUCGGUACUUGAAGGGUAUAGUGAUGCGAAU
rnacentral:rRNA from 1 species